AAGACCUUGCGCUUUUGGAGCGGCCGAUGUCUGAUUAGCUAGUUGGUGGGGUAAUGGCCUACCAAAGCUUCGAUCAGUAGCUGGUCUGUGAGGACGGCCAGCCACACUGGGACUGAGACACGGCCCAGACUCCUACGGGAGGCAGCAGUGGGGAAUUUUGGACAAUGGGCGCAAGCCUGAUCCAGCCAUGCCGCGUGAGUGAAGAAGGCCUUCGGGUUGUAAAGCUCUUUCAGCCGGGAAGAAAAGGCUGCGACUAAUAAUCGCAGUUCAUGACGGUACCGGAAGAAGAAGCACCGGCUAACUACGUGCCAGCAGCCGCGGUAAUACGUAGGGUGCGAGCGUUAAUCGGAAUUACUGGGCGUAAAGGGUGCGCAGGCGGUUUUGUAAGUCAGAUGUGAAAUCCCCGGGCUUAACCUGGGAACU
rnacentral:rRNA from 1 species